rnacentral:other from 1 species
AAUUUCCUGCCUGGUGCGUGGACUGUUGCAUCAAUAACCCUACAAAUCAUAAUUCGGGAGCUUUUCUCCGGCGGCAGACUGCAGACCUCCCGGCCCGGCGUUCACCGGGUUGGAUGAAGGGAGUGGGAACCCGUUGGGAGGGCACCCACCUGUUUACUCCAGUAGGCAGGUUAUUUUAUGCACUUACGGCCAGGCGGGGUUACU